rnacentral:hammerhead_ribozyme from 1 species
AUCCAGCUGACGAGUCCAAAAUAGAACGAAACGCGCGUCAAACUGGAU